rnacentral:rRNA from 1 species
GUGGGGAAUUUUGCGCAAUGGGGGCAACCCUGACGCAGCAACGCCGCGUGAGUGAAGAAGGCCUUCGGGUCGUAAAGCUCUGUCAAGCGGGAAGAAAUCUUUCCGGGCUAAUAUCUCGGGAAGUUGACGGUACCGCUGGAGGAAGCACCGGCUAACUACGUGCCAGCAGCCGCGGUAAUACGUAGGUGGCAAGCGUUGUCCGGAAUUAUUGGGCGUAAAGAGCAUGUAGGCGGGAAUCUAAGUCUGUUGUGAAAAUGUGGGGCUCAACCCCGUAUUGCGAUGGAAACUGGGUUUCUUGAGUGCAGGAGAGGAAAGGGGAAUUCCCAGUGUAGCGGUGAAAUGCGUAGAUAUUAGGAGGAACACCAGUGGCGAAGGCGACUUUCUGGACUGUAACUGACGCUGAGGCUCGAAAGCCAGGGGAGCGAACGGGAUUAGAAACCCGGAUAGUCC